rnacentral:rRNA from 1 species
AUACGGAGGAUCCGAGCGUUAUCCGGAUUUAUUGGGUUUAAAGGGUGCGCAGGCGGCCAUUUAAGUCAGCGGUUAAAUCGUGGGGCUCAACCCCAUUCUGCCGUUGAUACUGGGUGGCUUGAUUGCGGUCGAGGUUGGCGGAAUUCGUUGUGUAGCGGGGAAAUGCAUAGAUAUGACGAAGAACACCGAUUGCGUAGGCAGCUGACCAGACCGCAAAUGACGCUCAUGCACGAAAGUGCGGGGAUCGAACAGGAUUAGAAACCCUGGUAGUCCGCACAGUAAACGAUGAAUACUUGUUUUCGGCGAUAUAAUGUCGGAGGCAAAGCGAAAGCGAUAAGUAUUCCACCUGGGGAGUACGCCGGCAACGGUGAAACUUAAAGGAAUUGGCGGGG